GUGGAUUAGAUACCCCGGUAGUCCAUGCCGUAAACGAUGUCUACUAGCCGUUGGGGUCUUUGAGACCUUAGUGGCGCAGCUAACGCGAUAAGUAGACCGCCUGGGGAGUACGGUCGCAAGACUAAAACUCAAAUGAAUUGACGGGGGCCCGCACAAGCGGUGGAGCAUGUGGUUUAAUUCGAUGCAACGCGAAGAACCUUACCUGGCCUUGACAUACUAAGAACUUUCCAGAGAUGGAUUGGUGCCUUCGGGAACUUAGAUACAGGUGCUGCACGGCUGUCGACAACU
rnacentral:rRNA from 1 species